rnacentral:misc_RNA from 1 species
GAUGAAGAACGCAGCGAAAUGCGAUAAGUAAUGUGAAUUGCAGAUUUCAGUGAAUCAUCGAAUCUUUGAACGCACCUUGCGCCUUGUGGUAUUCCACAAGGCAUGCCCGUUUGAGUAUCAUUAAAUCAUCAACUCUAAAACCUUUGUGGUUUUUUUAGAGCUUGGUCUUGAGGGUUUUCCAGGCUUUUUUUUUUUCGAGUCUGCUCCCUUUAAAUGCAUUAGCGAGACUUCCCUAUGCUGAACCGUCUCUUUGACGUGAUAAUUAUCUGCGUCGAAUUUUGGUUCUCGUUGGGCUUGCUUCUAAUCGUCUGUUAAAGACAAAACGGAUUUGGGUGCAUAUAUGCGCCUUUUUCCAAAACCUUUUUUGAUCUCAAAUCGGGUAGGACUACCCGCUGAACUUAAGCAUAUCAAUAAGCGGAGGA